UACGGAGGGUGCAAGCAUUAAUCGGAUUUACUGGGCGUAAAGGGUGCGUAGGCGGAUUGGCAAGUCAGAUGUGAAAUCCCGAUACUCAAUAUCGGAACUGCAUUUGAAACUAUCUUUCUUGAGGGUAGGCGGAGAGAACGGAAUUCCAUGUGUAGCGGUGAAAUGCGUAGAUAUAUGGAAGAACACCAGUGGCGUAAGCGGUUCUCUAGCUUAUUUCUGACGCUGAGGCACGAGAGUGUGGGGAGCAAACAGG
rnacentral:rRNA from 1 species